GAUGAACGCUGGCGGCGUGCCUAAUACAUGCAAGUCGAGCGAACAGACGAGGAGCUUGCUCCUCUGACGUUAGCGGCGGACGGGUGAGUAACACGUGGAUAACCUACCUAUAAGACUGGGAUAACUUCGGGAAACCGGAGCUAAUACCGGAUAAUAUAUUGAACCGCAUGGUUCAAUAGUGAAAGACGGUUUUGCUGUCACUUAUAGAUGGAUCCGCGCCACAUUAGCUAGUUGGUAAGGUAACGGCUUACCAAGGCAACGAUGCGUAGCCGACCUGAGAGGGUGGUCGGCCACCCUGGAACUGAGACACGGUCCAGACUCCUACGGGAGGCCGCAGUAGGGAAUCUUCCGCAAUGGGCGAAAGCCUGACGGAGCAACGCCGCGUGAGUGAUGAAGGUCUUCGGAUCGUAAAACUCUGUUAUUAGGGAAGAACAAAUGUGUAAGUAACUAUGCACGUCUUGACGGUACCUAAUCAGAAAGCCACGGCUAACUACGUG
rnacentral:rRNA from 1 species